rnacentral:rRNA from 1 species
GACGAACGCUGGCGGCGUGCUUAACACAUGCAAGUCGAACGGAAAGGCCCCUUCGGGGGUACUCGAGUGGCGAACGGGUGAGUAACACGUGAGUAACCUGCCCUUGACUUCGGGAUAACCUCAGGAAACUGGGGCUAAUACCGGAUAGGAAUCCUUGCUGCAUGGUGGGGGUUGGAAAGCUUCGGCGGUUUUGGAUGGACUCGCGGCUUAUCAGCUUGUUGGUGGGGUAGUGGCUUACCAAGGCUUUGACGGGUAGCCGGCCUGAGAGGGCGACCGGCCACAUUGGGACUGAGAUACGGCCCAGACUCCUACGGGAGGCAGCAGUGGGGAAUAUUGCACAAUGGGCGGAAGCCUGAUGCAGCAACGCCGCGUGCGGGAUGACGGCCUUCGGGUUGUAAACCGCUUUCAGCAGGGGCGAAGCUUGUGGUGACGGUACCUGCAGAAGAAGCACCGGCUAACUACGUG